UAAGAGGGGGGAGUAACAUCCGGAAACGGGUGGCUAAUACCGCAUAGUUUUCUUGAUCGCAUGAUCGGGAAAGGAAAGACGGCCUUUGUGCUGUCGCUUAUGGAUGGACCCGCGGCGUAUUAGUUAGUUGGUGAGGUAACGGCUCACCAAGACGAUGAUACGUAGCCGACCUGAGAGGGUGAUCGGCCACAUUGGGACUGAGACACGGCCCAAACUCCUACGGGAGGCAGCAGUAGGGAAUCUUCCGCAAUGGACGAAAGUCUGACGGAGCAACGCCGCGUGAGUGAAGAAAAGGUUUUUCGGAUCGUAAAACUCUGUUGUCAGAGAAGAACAAGUUGGAGAGUAACUGCUCCAGCCUUGACGGUAUCUGACCAGAAAGCCACGGCUAACUACGUGCCAGCCGCUGC
rnacentral:rRNA from 1 species